UGACUUAUUUUACUGGUGCACAUUCUAAAAGGGCUUUCAAGUUUAUAUUUUCACCCACAGUGGGUGAAAAUAUAAACUUGAAAGCCCUUUUAGAAUGUGCACCAGUAAAAUAAGUACU
rnacentral:miRNA from 1 species